rnacentral:tRNA from 1 species
GCUUCUAUAGUUUAAUGGUAGAACACUAGAUUUGUAAUCUUGUAGUAUUGGUUCGAUUCCAAUUAGAAGCUCA